UGGGGAAUAUUGGACAAUGGACCAAAAGUCUGAUCCAGCAAUUCUGUGUGCACGAUGAAGUUUUUCGGAAUGUAAAGUGCUUUCAGUUGGGACGAAGUAAGUGACGGUACCAACAGAAGAAGCGACGGCUAAAUACGUGCCAGCAGCCGCGGUAAUACGUAUGUCGCAAGCGUUAUCCGGAUUUAUUGGGCGUAAAGCGCGUCUAGGCGGUUUGGUAAGUCUGAUGUGAAAAUGCGGGGCUCAACUCCGUAUUGCGUUGGAAACUGCCAAACUAGAGUACUGGAGAGGUGGGCGGAACUACAAGUGUAGAGGUGAAAUUCGUAGAUAUUUGUAGGAAUGCCGAUGGGGAAGCCAGCCCACUGGACAGAUACUGACGCUAAAGCGCGAAAGCGUGGGUAGCAAACA
rnacentral:rRNA from 2 species